AACAACACCCUACAAAUCUCAGGCGAUUGUUCGAUCGACGAAUCAAUUCCAAAAUUGCCUGAUAAUCAAGCUAUUACGUCUCCGUUUAUCAUCUUUUUAUCUCAAAUUCGGAUUACUACAAAGAGAUAAUUGUUUUAGAAGAACUUUUGUCUUAUAAAAGGAACCGGUUGCAAAGAUGUAUGAUAAUGAAGAUACUACAUCUCUGUUUAUCAUCUCUUAAUCGGAAAAUCUGAAUUCUACAAAGAGAGGUGGCUUCAAAUAAUGUCGUCUUUGGAGAAGAUAGGACAACCCUAUAUAAUGUUAAAGAUUGCCAAAUCUCAACCGUAAGAAUCAAACCAAGGAUAACUGUGAAGUAAUAAAUUGUUAUGUUUUUAACAGUCCAUUUUGGAUCCAUAGGAUCCGCGUGUCAAUCCAAAAAAUUAGUCCAGGAUCCGCGUGCCUUUCCGAUCGAGUCGCCCAUGAUCCAUGGGUAUUUUGCUUUUAAAUUAUGAUUUUGCCCUUCAACGAUUUUUUUCAUUUACUCUUUGAUUGUAAUUAUUCCAAUGGCAUCUUUUGUAAUUCUUUACCCUUCAUAAGGUUAUUUAUUAUUCAAUGCUUCCCAAUUAAUAGUAUAGAUUUAAGAAUUAAUGACGUUUUUUAUUACAACAUUCCUUAAAACUCUUAUCCUAGAUCCAAAUAUGAUUAAACCGGGUAAAACCCGGAUCCAAAUGAAUUAAUGCAAAA